AUCUGAAGACUUGACUCCUGGACUCCUUUGAUGAUUCUAUGGUGAGACUUAGAUAUUUUCAGACCUAGAACUUAGAAUUAAAUCACAGUUGUUAAUACAUAGAGUGAUCAGGUUAAACAUAGAUCUUACGUAGUGGGGCAACUGGCCCCCCCACUACACACUGAUGCAUAAUGGCUGCCAAAAAUGUAAACGUGACAGCUGACUUAUUUUUUGGUUUGUCCUACAACCCUUUUGAAGCUAUAUGGUUUGUGUGAAAAGCUGGGCCUUGAAAGAAGCCUCUGCUCUCCGUCUCAUCCCCAGACAAAUGGUCUAGUGGAAAAGUUAAAUGGCACAAUCCAAAGGUCACUGAAUAAACUUGUAGCGGAACACCCCACAACUUGGGACAACUUUCUUCAAUCCACUACGUUUGGUCUUCGCACAAAAAAACAACUGACUACGAAAUGCAGCCCGUACUACCUGAUGUUUGGGAGGGAAGCCAGGUAUCCAUCAGAAGUACCUAAGAAUACAAAGUGACAGAACAUAUAUCUUCCUUACUUCAACAUGAAGAAGUGUGUGACAGAUUGAAAAGGCAGGCAAUGACCUAUAAGGAGGUUCAUAGCAAACAUAAAAAAAGUCAAGAUGCAAUACGUAAAAGGAAGGCCAGACAUGGCACUGAAGAGGAUUUCAAAGUGGGGGAUCUAAUAUUAGUAAAAAAUAUUAGGCAGGAGCAGAGGAAAGGGGGGAAACUGGACCCUGACAUGCUUGGGCCUUUUAAAAUCAUAAACCUCAUCAGAAAAUGUGCAGACAUUUUAUCAGAGGGAGGGGAAAAUAAAACAGAAGAUGAAUAUUGAUGACCUCACCCACUAUUUCCAGCCAGAGGAGAGGAUACCUGCAAAGUUGCAGAAAAUCUUGGCAACUUCUCCUCUGGCUCUCAUCAGUGGAGUCUACGUUGAAGGCAACAAGGAUCCAGAUCCUAGAUCAGCACAAAGAUGCAGAAAACUGUAAGUACACUGACAAAUUGAACCUUAAAACUUAAAUGUUCCAAAUGGUUAGUGUUUGUGUCUUUAUAGUAAUCAGAGUGAUAUGGGCUGGAAAACAAAAAACACCCUCUGGGCCAAAAUAGGGCCAUAGAAGAUCUUUUCAGAAAACUUCAUGGACUUGGCCACAGGGAAGGAGCUGGAGAGUGAGGUAUGUUACAUUUGUCAUGAUUAUCUGCUGAGUAGUGGAGGUAAAAUGGAUGAGAAGUUACUUCUGUAUUCAUAGGUGAUGAAUGGCUAUCUGACAAGUGUGGGCAAAAGGACAGGAGCUCUGAUUUUUAGAUUUGUAUCUGAUGACCUCAGCCUGGCAAGGAUCUACUAAAGGCUUCAGAAAGCUUGCAGAGCAAAUGCUAAAUAAGAGAUACAGUAUCCUAUCGACCAGGAGGGUGUGGCCAGGUUAAGGCUCAACAUAGCAAUAUCACUGCUGAAAGAUUCAGGUAAACUUGAGGAGAUGACCUAUCUCAAAUGUGUCGGGCUUGUGGGGAGGCCAGCUCGAGCGCAAAAGUGGAUAAAUGGAUUGAGUUUACCACCUGUAGGAGGUGGUGCCAUAUGUCCUGUGUGGGGCAUCCACCCACAGAUGGGGACUACAACUGCAAUAGCUGCCAAUAAAUGUUUUAUCAAAAGGAAAUGCUGUCUUUUCUCAAGGACAUCAGUUUUGAGUAUGGCACAACAAACUUCUAUGGCUGAUUAGAACAUGAAUGUCCUGUUUUUAUUUUUUUCUAAAUUGCUGCAUUUCGAAUUCAAUAAGUUAAAUAUUGCUGGACUGUGUUGGUAAGACUUUAACGUUUGUGUAUUUAAAUAAGUCAGUGUAGCGACAAUGUGAUCUAAAGCUGACAAUACGGUAGCAAUACAUCGUUAAACUACAAAAUUUUGGUGUUCUACCACACGGUUUGAACUUAUUAAACAAUGUGCACACUGUGUCCUGAUCUCCUGUUUUGACAGUAAACGGUGAUCACAGCUCCACUAGUUCCAACCGCGGUUACGUAGUUUUCUUUCUUGUUGCCUGACAGCGCAUGACUCUUACGAUGAGAACGUGACUUAUUUCCAGAUAUUUU